GCUUCUCUAGCUUGAAGGGGCGAGGUGGUGAUUAAGUGCUUGUCCAGAACUGAAAAUGGCCCAGCUAUUUCGGCUGCUGUGUCUGUCUGGAGUGGACAACCGAGUGGGCAAAGAAGCAGAAGGGGAAAGGAAAGGACAGCGGGGCCCGUGGGGCCACCCUCAGUGCACCGGGAUCUUGGGCGAGAGAACUAGCUCCUCAGGGCAAAAUGUUGCCGGCUCCUCCAAGCAGCAAGAGCAUGCCAACUCACAGAAGCACAGCAUCUCCCCCAGGACUCCUCUGCUUGGAUCCACGGACCAGCAACUUAGUAAGAUCGCAAGGCAGCUUGCUAGAAGUGCAGAGUCUCAGCCCAGUGGCUUCUAAGCUACCUCUGAGGGCUACGUCUUUGGCACUGUAAAUCCUCAUGUUUUCCAGAAGCAGCAUUUCACCUGGGCUGCCCUCUCCUGGCAGAGUCAGCAGUGCAUAAGACUGCUGGCCAAGUGGGGUCAACAGAGCAGCAGAGAAGGGAAAGCGGGGUAUGUGGACACCCCACACUCGAGAUAAUUGGACUGGAACAGCUGACUGCAUGACCAGGACUGGAUCAUUUGGCGAAGAACAGAACAAGAGCACAAGUAAUUGAAAUCUACUACAUCCCCUGAACUUCAUUUCAGCCAAUACGUUCAACCUCUUCCUGUAAUAAAUCUUCUACCAGGCCUGCUAGCCAGAGGUAAAAUGAAUGGAAUUAAGUUUCAGCUCCUAUCUCUGCUUCCUCGCCAAGUGGACAUACUAACAAGGGGUGGCGUAUCUCAAAACCAGGCAGCAGAAGAAGGAAAAGGGUGAAAAGAAAGAGAAUGAGAGGUACUGUGCAAUCCAAAAGCCUCACUGCCACGCCUUAGCCUCUGAAAACAGAAGGGCUCAGCAGUUCGAAAGUACACACACCCUGAAUGUCAAACUUAGCUCAUGAAACUUGGAAAAAGAAGCUUAGUAGGGCAGCCUAGCUUUCACUCACUGCGUACAAUCAAACAGAGCGACUGUAAUAUUUCUUGAGCAAUUGUGGGAAAUCUCAUGUACCUUUCAGCCCCACUUUACCACCCCUGUAACAGGGCUGUGGUUCUUGAUGAAAGAUUUGUCAUCUUCCCAUAUGACUUUGAUCGUGUCAUUUGGCAGCACUGCAGGAGGACACGGAUGUGGGUGAGCUCUGAAACUAUCCAUGAAGAGAUGAAUAAAAAGUCAACAGUAUUAUCCACAUCAUUAGUUCACGUAAUAAAAAGUGAUUAAAUACAGCUAGCUUUCAAAUGCAUGUGAAAUAGAUCUGGCUGACGUAUAAAUUUUCAUAACGCUUGUGUUUUGCUUGGGUUGAAUUACCUUAAAUAACAGAAAAUCAUCAUCCUACUCACUGAUCACCGUCAACCCUGGAGUCAUUACUGGAUUACGACAGCUUUGUAAGAAGGGUUGGACGGUGCUGCACUUUGCAUUGCUAGUGUCAUUACUCUUCUGAUCAGUAAGCCCCAGUUUGUCUUCAGAAAGAAGAACCAUAACACAAACAUUUGGGUUGCUGAAGGAGAGAACGGGGUGUGUGAAAGCUGGAAAGAGGAACUUAUUGUGAAAUGCGGUUUCGUGAGAUCAAAAGACUUGGUGAGUCAGAUAUGGGUGUUUACUUUCUCUGUUUUUAGAAACUAUCAAAAAUUAUAGAAAUUCCAAACUCAUUUCUACCUUUCUGGCCUUUUCUGGGUGUAGGAAGGGGUAAGCCAGGAGACUAUGGGUUUGGAAAUUUCUGGAACACUCUCCAGAUGGCUGAGUCAUGGCUUCUUAUAAAAGCUUCUUGGAAUGCUACCAAGUCUCAGCUCCCCAAUCAACAGGAGCUCCUUUUAACAUCUGCAAAGCAUGUCCAACGAUAAACACUAUCAGUCACACCUCGUCAUUAAAAGACUGCGUUCAGAUUUCAGUUUUGUAAUUUAAUCUAUCAUGGUAAAUUUUGCCAUGGGAUUGUAUUAGACUCUCGCAGCUGACAUUUUUUGUCGUUAUUGCUGUUAGUCACUUAGCAUCGUCCAAAGCUACUUGCUCAUUUCUCUUUGAAAUCUUUUCCCUGAUUUCCAUUAAGGGAUCCCAUGUCCCUUCUAUUUCUCUGACCAACUCUUUUCUUUCUCUCUUUCAGCGGCUCACUGUCCUCAGUUUCACAGUUAAAUGUUGGUGUUCUGCAAAUUUAUUGUGUCAUUGACCAUGGAGCCCUAGCCUGCUCUUGUUUGCUUCGUGCUGUGUUCUCUCUCUCCAGGCAAUGUCAUGCACCCCAUGGCUUCAACUACCAACCACAUGUGAGCACUUCUGAAUUAUCACCUGCAGCCCCAAGCUGUCUGCUGGGAAGGAGGUUGUGUUACAGCUUUCUUCUUGAUACCUCUGUUUGGAUUCUAACAGUCACCAUUCUACUCACCUCCAGUGAUGGACUUCUUCUCUUCUCCCAUCCAAAGGUACCACCGCUCAUUCGGAUAACAACAGAAGGCAGAAAAUGAGACCUAUUCUGUGACACUUGCCUGUCCUUCGCCUUCCAUAUUAAACCCAUAUCCUAAGUUAGGUUGCUGAAAUCCUCAAAUCUUUCAACUAAGCUGUCACCAUCCCAUAUCGAGUUAGUAUCUCUCACCACUGCUGCUUUUGUUAGACCACUCUCUCAAUGAUUCUCCACACUACAGCCAGAGCGAUCAUUUAAAAAUAUAAAUUCAUGAUGACUAUCCUUGUCUACUAGCUUUGCAUUGCUCUUAAAAUAAGGAUCAAGCAUCCUGAACCCUGACUCCAAAGUACCUAUGAAUUCACCUCUGAUGACUUUACUGGGGUCACCUUACCCUUGUCUUACCUCUGCGCUCUGCCACACUGGCCUUCAUGUCAGUUCUUUAUAUUUUCUAGGCCUUUUUUCAAAUAGUUUUUCUUUUUGGAAUUCUGCUCUCUUCCUUGCUGCCUUUCUAUAAUGUUUUUCAAGAUUUCAUCAUCACUUGAUCUUCUCUUUUCACUCUCACAAUUUUCUAUACGCCUGUGGUUCCAAUCACUUCUGCCUCUUUCAGACCUUUAGAAGAAUACAUUGCCAAUAACAGAUUUUUUUUCUUUUUGUUUUUGUUUCAUUUUUUUUCAGUACCUGGAAUUGAACUCAUGACCUCGUGCUUGCCAGGCAGAUGCUGGGCCGCUGAGCUAAAUUCUCAGCCUAAUAACAGAUAUUUCUACUUCAGUGUUUACAAAUGUCUUAACUUUAGCAUGACCCAAACUCAUCUUUCCUUCCUCUAAAUCUGUCCCUCCUUGUGUCCACUAUAUCCUGGUAAUGUUCUAUGGAGUCUCGAAGUCACUCACUUUUAAAAUAACAACAUCAUUGAGAUAUUAAUUAUGUGAUAGUUAACUGAUGGUGUCAACUUGAGUAAGAAGCGCCCCGCUAAAUUGGAUCGGCACAGUUCUGGGUGUGGCUGGGGGGAUUCACUGAAGACGGAAGACCCGCCCUAGGGUGGCUCGGCGCCUGGGUGGUGUGAAGGGGAAACAGGAAGGCUCGCUCGGGUUCUGCCCGGGAGCUGCGGUCUUCACCUUUGCCGCGGACACUGUCUUCAGCUUUUCAGCACAGACCCUCUGGCCUUCCGCUAUGGACUUGCUCAGGACUCAGUGAGCCUUUGACUGGACCCUCUGGAUCAUGCAGACAGACCUUUUGCACUCUUCCACACCUCAUUUUGUGGGUGGCCAUUAUAAGCCAAUCUUGUAAAUCCUUAUAUAUUUGUAUAUUCUGGACUAAAUCUAUUUUUAUAGUAAGCACUGACUGAUACAAAUUAUAUGCCAUACAAUUUACCCUUUAAAGUACACAAUUGAUGAUCUUUGGUAUAUUCAAAGGGUUGUUUUAUCUAAUUUUACAUUUUAUCACCUCUAAGCCCAUUAGGAGCCACUUCCAUCCAUCCCUCCUCAAAACCCCUGGAAACCAUAAAUCUACUUUCUGCCUCUAUGCAUUUGCUUACUAUAGACACUACAAGAGAAUCAAAAAAGAAAUGCAAUUAUAUAAUAUGUCCCUUUUUGUGUCUAGUUCCUUCCAUGUGAUAUAUUUCAAGGUUCAUCCUCAUUGUACCAUGAAUUGGUACUUCAUUCAUUUUCAAAGAUGAUUAAUAUUGUAUUCCAUAGCUACACCACAUUUUCUUUAUCGUUCAUCUGUUGAUAAAUAUUUGUUUCCUCUUUGGGCUAGUUGCAAUUGAUGCUGCUAUGCAUAUUUCUAUAUAGGUGUUUGUGUAGAUGAUUUCAGUUUUUUGGUUUUAUAAACCCUAGGAAUAGAAUUGCUGGGUCUCACUGUAACACUAAGUUUGACCUCUUGAGAAACUGCCAAACAGACUUCCAUAGUGGAAGUAGAGCACAUUUUACAUUUCUACGCUACGGAUGCCUCGGUUUCAAUGCACCUUUGCCAGUUGAGCCCCUCACUUUCGCGGCGUAGUGCAGCAGAUGCGGAACAGAAGGUAGAGCUGGUUGGUUGCCUAUCUCAGUUAUCUGACCUCAGCAGCGGCUCCUGAGCCUUCGUCCUCCUGUCCAUACACAUUGUCCCUGUCUAUCUUAGACCAGAGCUUCAUCACGUUUCCUCCGGGAGACUGAAAGUCUUUCAAAAGUUUUCUUUCUCUUUCUGCUUGUCCUUCUUACCUCUGUCUAUACCAAAUUACUAAGAGCCAGAUGAAAGCUCUAAUUAUGCCACUUAAGGGGUUUAAAAAAAUCCUUUUAUGAGUUCUCAUCGAUAACUGCGUAAAGCUGAACUCCUUGGACAGGCACACAGGCCCUCUACGGUAUGUUAUUGUGAGUAUUUUGGUCAUAAUUCCAACUACUGUAGUAUAAGAGUUGACUGGUUUGUAACACCUUUCCUGAAUAACAACAAUCACAUUCCAAAGUAAAACCAUCUACACUUUACUGUUCCUUUCUUAGUAUUUUCAUAGACAUAUCUGGUUAUAUGUCAGAAUAUAAGUCUUAAAACAUUGUGCAAGUUGUUGAAAAAAGUAGGUGCUCAAUAAAUAUGUAAUGAAAGAAUGACAAAUGUGUGAAUAAAUAUUUGCUUUCA